CCUACGGGAGGCAGCAGUGGGGAAUAUUGGACAAUGGGGGAAACCCUGAUCCAGCGACGCCGCGUGAGUGAAGAAGUAUUUCGGUACGUAAAGCUCUAUCAGUAGGGAAGAAAAUGACGGUACCUGACUAAGAAGCCCCGGCUAACUACGUGCCAGCAGCCGCGGUAAUACGUAGGGGGCAAGCGUUAUCCGGAUUUACUGGGUGUAAAGGGAGCGUAGACGGCAGGGCAAGUCUGGAGUGAAAUGCCGGGGCCCAACCCCGGAACUGCGGUGGAAACUGUGAAGCUGGAGUGGAGGAGAGGUAGGCGGAAUGCGUGGUGUAGCGGUGAAAUGCGUAGAUAUCAGGAGGAACACCGACGGCGAAGGCAGCUUACUGGACUGUAACUGACGUUGAGGCUCGAAGGCGUGGGGAGCGAACAGGAUUAGAUACCCUAGUAGUC
rnacentral:rRNA from 1 species